CUCCCGGCGGGGCGGGGGGCUCGCCUGAGGGUUUUCCUCCCCCUUUUUUCUCCUUACCCUUCCCCCCCCCCCCUUUAUUUAUUUUUCUCCGUUUCCUUUCUCUUCUUUUUUUUUCUCUCUUCUUUCUUCUCCCUUUCCCCCGUGAUACUUUCUCCCCUCUUCUCCUUGGUUUCCCUCCUUGCCCUUUUUUCUUUAUUCCAUUUUUUGUUUUACUUCCCCCCUUUCAAUUUUCUUUUUUUCCUUGUUCUUAUUUGCUUUUUUUAUCCCUUUACACCUGUUUACUCUUUUUUUACCCCCCCUUUUUCUUCCCAUUUUCUGCCUUUUUUAUUUUGUUUUCCCCUCUUUCCUCUUGUUUCCUCCUUCCCCCCCACCCUUUUCUUUUUUUUUUAUUUUUCUUCCUUCCCCUCCCCCCAUAUUUUUUGUAGGGUCGGUGUGGGUUUUUUCCCUCUCCUGCUUUGUUUCUUCUUUUCUUUUUUUUUUUUUCUUUUUUUUUUUUUUUCCUUGCAUUUCCGACAGCCAACCAAGAACCAGCUGGUACAGAUUUAACCCGCUCCAAUCCCAUCUCCCACCGUGGAAAACUGACCACAGCCAAGCCGCUGGACUGCCCGCCAAUUCCCAUUGCUGCUUCCCGGGGAACAGGCGCAGCAGAAAGGGGUUGCGCCUUUGAGCUCUUCAAAUGAGUAACCCUGGGAAGGGCAGAGAGCCGGCAGAUGAAAGGCAAGGUACGGACUUUGAUCGUGCAAUCGGAGCCAUGCGGGCAGGCUCCCGAGACAUGUGGAGCACCCCUGAAGGUCAGCCUGGGCUGAUCAGAUUGCAGCAAGAGAGCCACAGAAAGCAGGGCAAACGGAGGUGGAAAAAUCUAUACACCCAGGUAUCUGCCAAGAGAUGAAAGAAAAGUUUGCCUCUGAUGCUGGGAUUUAUGAAUAAGAUCAGCUGGCUGCACAACACCAUCCCUAGGAAUGAAUACGUUUCAUGAGGAAGAAAGAGCACAUGGAAAAGCGAUUGCUUUGCUACUCCUAAACUCUGGAAUUCUCUUGAUGUGCUGUUACAAGCCAGAAAAGAUCACAGAGAGCACUGCAUACAUACAUACAUACAUAUGCUUUAUCCAGUGAUCCCCUUUGAAGGAAACCUGAAAAAGGCUGCAGAUGAUGUACACAUUUCAGCUAUUAAAGGUCAUGGAUAAGACAGCUAUUUAUUAGUUCAAAUAAGGUCAGUGUUACAUCCAGGGGCAGAGAGCUCUGCCUGUUGCACAAAUGACACUGCCUGCCCUUAAUGCCCUGAGAAACUUUUGACAAGCUAAGCAUAUGUAACAAGCCACAAACCUUACAUCCAACUGCUGCAGUUCUUUAAUGUUUAUUAUCUGAAAAUGGGUUCCAUUUCUGUAUCCCAGCACAUUUCCUCUCCUCCAAGUUCUCCACUGGUGAUUUCUGACAAAGAAAUUGUAUCCCCUGAUGGAGAAGGAAUGCUUACUAACUAGUAAAUUGGUGGUUGUGGCUCUUCCCAAGAACCAUUCUCCUUUGCUGCUAUUUUGGAACGUUCUACCCCACAUACUAAACUAUUGGUUCGUUUACUUUCUUUAUACACACAGAAAAAUGGACCUUGGUAAACAAUUUGUGCCAGUUUUAGACUUCUACUGGAGCUAAAAUCAGGGUCUUGGUUGAAUUCCGUAACACACAGUUUUGGAGGAAAACACUGUUAUGUAACUCUUCUUUUUCCCUUUCUGGAAGACAACCUUGGUGGAAGAGCACUGAGAAGCAGUGAAAUCUUGUGCAGGUCUUGAGACAGAUGGCAAAGUAGGAGGGCAGAAGGUUACCUUAAGGUCAGGGUGUUUCCCAUCCUUAUUAGGUAUAAUCCAAAUGCAACAGGCGGGCAGAAACACUUCUGCUACAUUCACCUCCAAGAAACUUCUCACUUGAAGUAAUUUGCCCUGCUAAAUCCUGAACUAAAGGCAGUAUCUUCUUCCUGGAAGGCUUGUUAUUAUAAACAAAUAAUAACAUCUGUUCCUAAAUAACCAAUCUACCUUUCCAGAAUGAAAGGUCUCACCCUGCUCCUAUACUUCGCAUGGAAAGUGGUCAAAAGAGCCGAAGUUUGAAACCCGGACACCACAACUUCGCUGAUGUGUCUCACUCAGCCCUUCAAACAGGAGAGCAAACUCAGGAACUAGUAGGUUGGAUCUUAGAACCAUUUAGUCAUUUUAGUUAGAAAUACCUCUAAGAUCAUCGAGUCCAACUGCUAACAUGGUGCUGACAAGUCCACCAUGAACUAUGUCCCUAAGUGCCUUGUAUACACACCUUUUAAAAACCUUCAGGGAUGGUGACUCAACCACUUCCCUAGGCAGUCGGUUUGAAUGAUGAAGAAUCAUUUUGUUCUUUCAUUCUAAACCCAACUGAAUAUAAAAUUGUCAUAGAAACAUUAAGAGAAGGCCGUGAUCAUGCUGCAAAAAAGCCCCAAAGUGCAGUCAGCUGUCCACCGAUAGUGAAAUUAACCAUGAACUUUACAGAAUGACUCCUUGGAUGAAUGUUGUUAUAUUAUAAGGGCAAAAAGGGGAAAAAUUAGAUGUUAAAGUCUUUCUCACUGUUCUCACAGCUUAAAUACCUAUGGGCACUAAAUCAACACAAGUACGAUGAUGAAAUUAGUAAGUAAACAACUACAACCUUCACUGCUGCACAAAGAAGUUUGAAAUCAGAGAUCAAUAUGAAUGAUCCCAAUUCCAAAUUUGUAAGCCAAAUCUAGAAGAAAAUGUCUCCUUAUGUGAGAGCAUAGUGGAGCCCAAAUGGCUUCAAGAAAAAGCAUACAUGAACCACUCUCCUCUGUAAAGGCUCAAAACUGGAUGCUCAAGUUAACCACCCGUGAGUUUUCCCACAGAAGCAGGACCUUGAUCAGUGUUACUGCUGGCACCAGAUUCCCUGCAAUGACCUGGUAGCAUGUGAUUACCACAUAAGCUUCUCUUUCCUCCCCCAAAAACAAGCACAAAAUGAAGGAUGCCAGCAGUCAGUGUCAUUAGCUACUGGAGAUCAUUGCACCUGUAGCUCCCUACAUUUACUUCCUUCUAGGAGGACUAUUUUAACAGUCUACUAAAUAACGUUAACCAGCAAUGAAACAAGAACAGAUUACAAACUGAAGAUCUCAAUUUUGUAAAGCUGAACUCCCAAUCUCUAUCAUUGGAGUAAAAGUCCAAGUGAUGAAAUAAACCUUGAACUUUGUUGCUUUACUCAUCAUUUUUUGAAACAAAAGAGCACCUUGUCCCAGACACUGCAAUUUAGCAACUUCAUCUGUAUACGUGUCAGAAAGAGGGAGCAGAAAGCUCCAGCCAGCCAGUAUCCAAACAAGAGCAUUCCCCUGAUCAACAUCACUGACUGGAAUCGCACUUGGAAGGGAUGCACACCAAUGCAGUUACUGUCACACCACCGUUACUCAGUUCCAGGCAGGAAGCUGUGCCCAACCCUGUGGUCUCAAAAAGUGGGCCACAUGAGCAGAAACCAAUCAUCUAGGUACAAAAUGAGUGGGAGAAUGAAAAGGAGGAGCUAUUUACCACCAACAGGUUCAGCAGAACUCAGCCUGUAUCUUCCUGUUAGCUCUCCCAGAAGCAAGUGAGCAGGAAAGAUGACAGAGAAUAGCUUUGAACUGCAACUCACUGGCAGAGGAAAAGGUGGGGGGGUCGUAAGGACCGUAGCCUUCUCAGCUUCCGAAGUCCCCAAAGGAGUAAUGGGUACCUUGUGCAUGUGCACUGGUUGUCUCUCUAAUCUCAGCCACCUCGAUUGUUCCUGAGCACAAAACUCCAUUUCAUUGAAAAAAAAAAGACAACAAAAUCUGUGUAUUCCUGAUGUUGAACAUUCAGCUGCCACAGAAGACAAUGCUGCAGAUACAGGAAAAGAGCAUAUUUAACUAAGUAUUUUUCCCAUUUUUUGUCUAAGGUAAUUCCAAAUAAUGAGCAGGGGGCGGGAAAUUCACUAUGUUACCCAGGUUCACCCUGAAUCAGAUAUAUUAGAAAAAUACUGCAUUUCACUUUAAAUGUGAUGGAAUAAGAAUUCCUACCUGGGCUUGUAAUUAUCUUAACUAGACUUUCCAAUGGUUUUGUCCUAUUACACUCUGAUUUAAACCAGGUAUAACACAAUUUUGAAUCAUAUUUAAACAAGGUACCUCAACCAAUUUAAACUAUAUUUAGAUCCAGUAUUUUUACUGCUAAAGAAACCUAAUAGAGGAACAACAUGCUUAGAACAUCUGUCGCAGUGAUUGAAAGAAGUCUAUGACAGGAAUAGCAAACAGUUAUUUUCUUUCCUGAGAUGGUGUCAAUCUGUUGAAGCAAAGUAUCAGUGAAGUAGAUUGUUUCUAAGAGGUACCUCACUCUGGCCUGUCUUCUCCAAAACAAAGAUGAUUAAAAUACCCCCUUGCUGCAUAACCUUGUCUGCCUGCUUAUUAUUAUUUUCUAUUUCUGUAUCAGGGGAAACACUCUUUGUCAAAGCUAGUAAGCAUGUUACAGCAUUACAUGAAAAAAAAAAUCAUUUGUUCAAGUCUAAAAACCUCCACCUAAUGAAAUUCAAAUUUUAACAGACAUCAACUAUUAUUUACAUUUGGAUUAUCAAAUGUAUGACUCAACACAAUCCCUAAGAUACAGACCUCUAAGCAAGGCUGUCUGUCACACAGCAUUUUCUGCAAUGAUGAUCAGAACCCCAUGUUCUUUAUGACACAACUUUGCAGUUACUUCAUGGAAGAUGAUGACAGAAUGUCUCUCACUCCAUGCUAAUGCUGGUUCUCCACGAUGGAUUUCAAUGUGGUGGUCCAAAUCCAGGUUCUUUCCUGCAACAAAUGUCCUGCCUGCCCAGACCACGCAGAGGUGGAGAAUGAAGCUGAAGAAGGAAGGAGGCACUGGGGUAGUGACUGGGCACCUCUGAGCACUAAAGUAUAGGAAAUGGGAUGUCAAGCAGCAAUGGAAUGACUCACAGGAUUCAUUACAAGUUCUUGGUGUACCACCAUCAUGGGUCCAACUGUGGGGACCCAGCAUACAGUACCUCUGCUGACUGUCAUCAGGCUGAGGUUUCAACCCCAUUGCCCAGUAGCAGCUACACACAUUACUCCCCUGAGCUAGGAUCUACUGGGGUCCUUAAAUCAGGCCCAAAAUACGUGAUCGAGAGUGGCCAGUUACCCCGCAUCACCCGUGUGACUGGCACUAUCAGCACACAGCUAGGGCAGGCACGUCUCUCUUGAGCUCUGAUACAACAAGCCUCGAGGCUCAGUUGGAAGAGCAUAGAUCUGGUAGGCUGCCAACAUGAGAGCAUGGAUGCCUUUAAUAACCAACAACAGCUCUGCAUGACAUGAAGCAAUGCAGCCUGUGACGGGCCCAAGGCGGCCGCGUUUGCAUGGCUUGGGUGUUUCCCACGUGCUUGGUGCUCAGCUUGGUUCAGGAGAGGCAACCAGCAUCAUUACCAGUGUUCUCAGACCAGCCCGGGAAAGGGCUUCUCAUCAGGUCACACCCUGCCAUGAACCUGCUGGAUAUGGCAGCACAGCCACAGCUGAGAACACCAGUGGUUUUCUAUAAAAAAAAAGAAAAAAAAAAAGAAAAAUAAAACUGACAUAGUUUAGGAAAUGUUGUGAUAGGAAUUAAGAUGGGAACUUCAAAAAAGCAGCCAAACAGUUUCUGACCAGUGAAUACAGAUGUAAAAGCUUUCUGAGAAACUUAAGUAUCGAAUAGCUAAGACAGAACCAAGUAUCAGCACUCAGGAAGAAAUUACUGAAAAUUACUGUAAGAAGGGUAUGAAAUGCCAAAGGCUGCUGAUUAUUUGAAGAAAAAGAACUCAAGCAAGGACAGGGAUAUUUACAUAUUCAAUGGAAGAGUUUAAUAUAAAAUAUAGACUUGAAAGCAGAAUUUAUCCCUCUGCGUAAUGUUUUCUUUCAGCUAUAGGACUGUCUACUUCAAAAGGGAUUGCUACAAAGGAAUCAUUGUUAACUUUCAACUUAACUUUCAGCAUCAAAAGUAUUUUGUGUACCAAUCAAAAAAAAAUCACAAUUCAGCCAUCAUACUUGAGAGCUCAUUUUGGGCUCUUCUACAGAAAAAUUCAGGAAAAGUGGGUGGCUUACUCACCAGGGUGAUGCCAAGACUUGCCUUAUUGCACCCAGCUCCACACAUGGCUCAAACCCUACUGUACCUUUAUGAAAACUGAUGGACACAGAUCUCGCCUUCCUGAGAGCAGAGAUUUGAUUUCACUUUGCAUCCACUUCUCCUUCCUUUGAGCUCUCCAGGGGCAUGUCAGCUCUUUGCUCCUGUUCUUUUCACCCUUCCUUAAAUUUCAACUGAGGGACUUUAGCAAAAGCUAUCUAUUUUAAGCUGGUGGUGUAGAGACCUUUCCAGAGCAAUAAAAAGGUAGGACAGAAUUUUCUCUGUAGGUAGCAGACAGGCAGGGCUCCUUUUUGACUAUUCAUUUUAAUGCUGCCAUGGUUUUGUUGUAGUAUUAAUUAUGCAGGAGAGCGCCCA